UUUGUAUCUCAAACAAUAAUAUAAAAAUUAUUAUUAUUUAGUGUUCUUUUAUUUUUACUGAAUUAAUUAAGUAAUUAUUAUUUGACUUAUACACAUAAACAUGGAUGUAAUCUGUUUUCAAAAUAUGAAUUAGAUGUGAAACAUCUUAUUCAUUCACAGUGUUAUAUUGGUUACUCAAUUAGAAAGACAAAGGGUUUUCACUGUUCCCAUCUUUGGUAACUAUUUUUUUAUUUAUUGAUCACCUAUACUAAGUAAUUGAUUUACUAUGAACCAUUUAGUUAAUCGAAAAAUAAAAAUUGUUUCAAGAUUUUAUUUUUUGGUUUAUAUUAAAUUAUGAUUUAUAAAUUCAGGAUAAAAUGUAACUAAAAGAAAAUCAAACAGAAAUUCUAAAUAUUAUUGUAAGACCAGCUACUGCAAUAAGGGGUGCAGGAUAUAUGUCACAUUCAUCAGAGAGUUAUGAUCUUCGAAAAAUUUAACCGUUAUGCCUGAACUUAACAAAGAAGAAAGAAUGGAAGAUAAAAUAAAAAAAAACUAGAAAAACGUAUUCACGAUUUAGUAGACAAAGUUUGCUUGACAGAAGAAAAUGGUGCUCCAAAAUAAGGUUGGCCAGCAAAAAUAGAAGACCAAGUUAUUUUACCGUAUUUUCGUCGACGGAAUGAGUUAUCGAUCGAUAAAGAUUGCAUUAUUGUAG